GUCUCUAAAUUGCUCUAUCCUCUAUCUAUCUUUUCUUCCACUAAGUAUGAGGUGUGAACAGUGCCAAAACAUAUAAGUAUUAUAUAGACAGCUUUCUCUGCCAUUGGAUACAUGCUAUAGAUAUACAUACAUAUAUGGAUGCACCAUUAUACAUACUAAAAUGAUAGUUUGUACAGAUAUUGAUACAUCUAUGGCAUAUCUUCACGUCAUUUAGAUCAGAUCAUCAUGAUCAUCACCCCGCCUAUAGUAGGCGUGUCUCCUGUCAAGAAAGCUAAGAAGAUGACUAUGAAAAUAACUAGCAAGUUUACCCAGUUUGAGCCCUUAGAUGUGUCAGCAAUCUGAAAUAGAUCCAGUCUCAUUCUGAGGUUAUUCGUCAGGGCUAAACCAUCUAUGGCUAAACACUGAGGUCCGAGACAGUUAAAGGCUGAGUUAGCCUUGAGUGUGUUUGCUCCAUGACCAUGCAAACAAUGCUGGGGAAAAGAACAAAGAAAGCUUGAAUACCCCUCAAGAAAGUAAUGAAACUAGUCCAGAUACCCGAUGCAAAACUAAUUAAUUAGAUGAAUGAUAAUGGUGACUCUUAAUAUUAACAAUUAACAAUGUUUUAAUGCCUUCCUCAUUUAUGACAAUUUUUCAUAAAACAUUUGGGUUACCACUUAUGUACUGGUCCAACUGA
rnacentral:lncRNA from 1 species